rnacentral:rRNA from 1 species
UUGACCUCAAAUCAGGUAGGACUACCCGCUGAACUUAAGCAUAUCAAUAAGCGGAGGAAAAGAAACUAACAAGGAUUCCCCUAGUAACUGCGAGUGAAGCGGGAAAAGCUCAAAUUUAAAAUCUGGCGGUCUUGCGGCCGUCCGAGUUGUAAUCUGGAGAAGCGUUUAUCCGCGUCGGACCGUGUACAAGUCUUCUGGAAGGGAGCGUCGUAGAGGGUGAGAAUCCCGUCUUUGACACGGACAACCGGUGCUUUUG